CUUCACCAGUUGACCAACUGGUUUGCCAUUAACAAGCGUAGGGGGAAUAUAUUCUAAGGACAUACCAUUUGCAGCAAGUCUGUUAUUCUGGAAGAGACUAGUCCACUGUUUAGGUGGAUCUAAUUUUGGACCUUCCUUUGUAACAGAUUUUGGAUCAUCAGCUGGUGUUGGUUGUUGCAUGCAGAUUUGGACUCCUUUCUCAGGCUCCAUCGGACUAGUUACAGGCUUGAAUGGUGGCUCUGUACUCCUAACAUUUGCUAUUGGUAUCCCUGAAACUCCAGAUGGUUGUGGAUCUGUUGUUGCAUGAGGCAAUGGAACAGUAAUCGCAGCAGGUUGUGGAUCUGUUGUUGCUUGAGGCAAUGGAACAGUAAUCGCAGCAGGAUUUGAUGGAACAGUAGUACCUACCAGUUGUGGAUCUGUUGAUACUAGGAUUUGAUGGAACAGUAGUAUCUACCAGUUGUGGAUCUGUUGAUACUUGAGGUAAUGGAACAGUAAUCGCAGCAGGAUUUAAUGGAACAGUAGUACCUACCAUCGGUACAGUGGUAACAGCUUUCUGGAAAACUACAUCACUCGCAUAAAUUGGUACUAAUUCUUUUCUUGGGCGACCUCUCCUCCUUGCCAUAACAACCUCUGCUAGGUUUACUUACCUAAGCAGAUGCAGUGGAGAAGAAGACGAUGAAGUAGUGAAGAAGAUGAAGAGAAAGUUAGAGAGAAGGCAGAGCUUCUCUCUCUAGCAUUUUUUAAUGGUAUUUGUUAGCUCGAAAAA
rnacentral:lncRNA from 1 species